UUGAGUUCGAUUUAGAGUCGCUCAGGUCGCUCUUGUAGUAGUUGUUCUUUUUUAUCAUUUGAGAACAAGACAUGCGCAAGUCAAGUCAAGUGUGUGGUGUAAAGGGAAAAUAUUUUGGCUUUUAGGGGCCCAGAAAUUAUAAAAAUGCAUAAACUAAAAUUUUCCCAACGGGAUAAAGUGAAAAAAUUCAUAACCUUUACACAAACAGGAGAACAAACAGCAAUUUAUUGCUUAACUCAAAAUGACUGGAAAUUAGAUUUAGCCAGCGACAAUUACUUUCAGAAUCCUGAGGCAUAUUAUAAAGAGCCUAAAAAUUCAGUUGACAAGAAAAAACUUGAAAUAUUAUUUAGUAGAUAUCAAGAUUCCUCGGAAUCUGACAAAAUAACAGCAGAUGGUAUAAUGAAAUUUCUAGACGAUCUCGGAUUAAGUCCAGAAAGUAAAUUAGUUUUGAUUAUUGCCUGGAAAUUUCGGGCAGAAAAACAAUGCGAAUUUACACGUGAUGAAUUUAUGAAUGGAAUGAUGGAUUUAGGUGUUGACAGCGUUGAUAAACUUAAGGCUCGUUUAAGUAGUUUAGAAAAUGAAAUUCGUGAUUCAUUAAAAUUUAAAGACUUUUAUCAUUUUACAUUUAAUUAUGCCAAAAAUCCAGGACAAAAGGGAUUAGAUUUAGACAUGGCUAUUGCAUAUUGGAAUAUAGUGUUGGAUGAUAAAUUUAAAUUUCUGCCCCUUUGGUGCCAAUUUUUACAGGAGCAUCAUAAGAGGUCAAUUCCAAAAGAUACUUGGAAUUUAUUAUUAGAUUUUGCUCUUAUGAUUAAUGCAAAUAUGACCAAUUACGAUGAAGAAGGUGCUUGGCCUGUGUUAAUAGAUGAUUUUGUUGAAUGGGCACAACCACGAGUUCGUCAAGCUCUUUAACAUUUUUCACUAGAACAUUCGUAUCCUGUUUAAAAACUAUUUAUUUCGUUAUUACACCACGCAAUCUAUAAUCCCUUGAUUAUGAUUGCUGAUAUCGUAUAUACUAUAAAAGAAAUUGAAAUUUCGUUGUUUUUUUUUAUUAUUUUGUACUAUUUUUUUUUUUUAAAAAAAGUCUUCUCUUUCAAUAGAUUCAAUCGAAUUAUAAAAGAAACAAAGAAAAAUGA